UAACUUCGAAUCAAAUGACCCAUACGCUCAUGCCACAAACGUAUAUCCACAUUCAUAGCAACUAAUGCGUCGUUCAUUCUAUUCUUUACUUCUCUCACUCAGUUACCCACACGAUCGGCUGUCAUUUUGACAAUUCCCUUGUUAUCAGUGACAUAAGCAACGUCACGUUUAAAAAGAACAUUAUGACCAUUGUCAGUAAUUUUGGCAACUGAAUUUAAAUUACUUCUUAAAUUGGGAACGUACAAAGUAUCGCGAAGCAUAAUGCUGAGCAAAAAGCUGAUGUUUUCUUCUGAGAAGAUUUCCAAGAACCAUGUGGUGUGAAACGAGUAAAAAGUAGUAGAAAACAUAAUCUAUGGAUUCACAGAAAUAUAAUUUGAAUAAAGAUAUCAUUUUACAUUCUAUUCAUAUUUAAAAGAACUAAAUGUUGAACUAGAACUUUUGCUGAUUGCUAAAAAAUAAAUUUACAACAAAAAUUGAUGAAAAUAACAUAAAAGUAAGUUCAAGACAUAUGCCAAAUUCUACAUGAUCAACCUGUAAAUUGGUCAUGUCAUGACAAAAAUGGGCAGACAAUAAAAGUUCCUAUUUUUACCUGUAAAAACUAAUCAUAAUUUUUUACAUGGUUUGUGAGUUCCAUCAUUGUAGAUAAUUGCAAAGAAGUUUUGUAAGUAAAUGGGGAAAGAUCCAUAUAAUCAAAGAAAGCCAGUUUUUUUUUAAUAAGAUGAAUAAAUGCACCUCUUCAAGGUCUACAGAAUUAUUAAAUGAAGGAAUCUGCGUCAGAAUUACUGACUGCAUGUCGCUGCAACAUCUGUGCUACAAAGUUUGAUUGUUUGAAAUAUUGUAAUUCUAAACUAAAUUUUG